UACAGAGGUCCCAAGCGUUGUUCGGAUUCAUUGGGCGUAAAGGGUGCGUAGGCGGCGCGGUAAGUCGGGUGUGAAAUCUCGGAGCUUAACUCCGAAACUGCAUUCGAUACUGCCGUGCUUGAGGACUGGAGAGGAGACUGGAAUUUACGGUGUAGCAGUGAAAUGCGUAGAGAUCGUAAGGAAGACCAGUGGCGAAGGCGAGUCUCUGGACAGUUACUGACACUGAGGCACGAAGGCCAGGGGAGCAAACGGG
rnacentral:rRNA from 1 species